AUACGGAGGGUCCGAGCGUUAUCCGGAAUUAUUGGGUUUAAAGGGUCCGUAGGCGGGCGAUUAAGUCAGUGGUGAAAGUCUGCAGCUCAACUGUAGAAUUGCCUUUGAUACUGAUUGUCUUGAGUUAUAGUGAAGUUGCCGGAAUAUGUAGUGUAGCGGUGAAAUGCAUAGAUAGUACAUAGAACACCGAUUGCGAAGGCAGGUGACUAACUGUAUACUGACGCUGAUGGACGAAAGCGUGGGGAGCGAACAGGAUUAGAAACCCUAGUAGUCC
rnacentral:rRNA from 1 species